GUCGCAGGUUUGGGAAACUAC
rnacentral:miRNA from 1 species